GCCAGGCGUGGUGGCGUGCACCUGUAAUCCCAGCUACUGGGGAGGCUGAGGCAGGAGGAUGGGUUGAACUCAGGAAGUCAAGGCUGCAGUGAGCUGUGAUUGCACCACUGCACUCCAGCCUGGGUGACAGACCAAGACCCUGUCUCAA
rnacentral:SRP_RNA from 1 species